rnacentral:rRNA from 1 species
AUGAACGCUGGCGGCGUGCUUAACACAUGCAAGUCGAACGGAAAGGCCCAAGCUUGCUUGGGUACUCGAGUGGCGAACGGGUGAGUAACACGUGGGUGAUCUGCCCUGCACUUCGGGAUAAGCCUGGGAAACUGGGUCUAAUACCGGAUAGGACCACAUUUUGGAUGGUGUGGUGGAAAGUUUUUCGGUGUGGGAUGAGCUCGCGGCCUAUCAGCUUGUUGGUGGGGUAAUGGCCUACCAAGGCGUCGACGGGUAGCCGGCCUGAGAGGGUGUACGGCCACAGUGGGACUGAGAUACGGCCCAGACUCCUACGGGGGGCAGCAGUGGGGGAUAUUGCACAAUGGGCGCAAGCCUGAUGCAGCGACGCCGCGUGGGGGAUGACGGCCUUCGGGGUGUAAACUCCUUUCGCUAGGGACGAAGCGCAAGUGACGGUACCUGGAGAAGAAGCACCGGCUAACUACGUG